CGGGGGAAGCUCCAUACAGGAUUUCUGAAGAGCAGGUCGCAUUAUAUUCCGUCCUCUGCAGCGAUGAUCUACUUCGGCUUGACAUCCGUGUAGCCGGCGCGCCGAGUGCCACCGAGACGUGCUCAACAACGCGUAAAAUGUCUGUGUUCCAAUAUUGUGAUAUGUAAUUUGCUACGGUGCCGGCGAUUGUGCUUCAUACCGCCAGUUAAUCGUGUUGCGCCAUUUUUUUAUUCGCUAAAAUUUAUAGAAAAUUUGGAAUGUGUUAACUACCACAGGAAUGUGUACGGGAUGAAAAAAAUAAGAGCGGUGAUUGUUAAUUAAUUGAUUUACCGACAUUUAUUCAUCCAAUGUGGAGCUACCAUGAGCAUUGUAUGUGAACUAUUUUCGGAUCGAGAUGGGCGACGACAGCGCGCAUUCGCCCACGGUUAAUCAUUCUCCAAAAGGAUCCGGUGAUGAAAAUGCUCAUCAACCAACCGUUGUCCGAGACGACAGCGAGAACAUGGCAACACCAUCAACAACAAAGAAUCACUCUCCAAAAUCCAACACGGAGAGGAGCGGAUCAUCGAGCAAUAAUGAGGAAAAACACCGGGGUAAUCCUGAAAUCAAUGUGAAAGAAGAGAGAAAUUCCCCACGGGACAGCGACGCGGGAACCAUCGUGCGUGAUGAAGUAGAAAAUAUUAAUGUGGAAAACAUUAGCGCUUCCGCGGUGCGUAAUGAUAAUAACGCAGCAGACAGUCAAACCAUGGUGCGCAGCGCUGAUGAUAUGCCCGGCAGCCAGACUAUAGUGCGCAGCGACGAAAAUAUUACACCAGACAGUCCCACCGUCGUGCGCAAUGAUACGCCACCGCGUCCCCGCUCCGAACCGGAAGUGUUGUCGGAUCGCAGCACGCGAUCAUCCAGCCAGCGCCGGCGGUCAUCGGCACAGCGCGUGGCUUCAACUGGCCACAACCCCACGGUGGUCACCGAUGAGGUAGAUGGCAAGCUGUCCGACGCCGUGUCGCGGCGGUCCAGCAAAAGUGCGGUGGAUGAGCGGAGAGAUUCCGUGCCGGGAUCGGCCGGUGAGAGUGUGGCCGGCAGACGAAAAAUCAGUGCCACUGUGUCUAGCCCGUUAGCCUCGUCGGCGCCUGGAACACUGAGGACCAACCGGAAAGAAUCAUCGGAAUCAAUCAAAUCACAGCAAAAUGCCCCUGGUGGCCAGCGUGAUGUGGCGGACACUGGUCAUCGCUCCUCGGGCGAUAAAUCGCGAUCGUCGAUCUCACAACGACUGCAUCCUGGAAAUUCGAUCGAGCGGGAUCUGAAAUCAAGCAUUGGCUUGCUGGAUUCAGAGAGUCCAUUCGAUGGCGAGAGUGGUCGCAUUUUGAAGGAAUGGUCCAGCAUGGACAACAUUGACAGCGUGGUGGCCAGUUCGUCCAAUAUUCCCCGAUCAAAACAGCAGCACGUCUCGCAUCUGAUCAAUCAGCUCAAAUCCGUUACGGCAUCGGAGAACUCCGAUUCCGAUGAACAGUUAUCGCGGACAUCCAGUCCGUUGCUGCACGCCAAAGACAAUGCCUCCAUCAAAGCCAAAACGCAACCCGUGGACGGGAAAGACUCGCGCGCCAGUAGUCAUCAUCCCUACAACGUCAUCUUCGAAUCCGAUGAAGCGGCCUCCUUGGAGAGUGAACUGCGCGCUAAGAGCCGUGCGGCGGGACGUGGAUUCCGCGAGAAGCUGGUGCAGUCAGCGCCCAGUAAUGGGCCGCGAUUCCUGGGCGAUAUGCCCAGCAGAAUUGUGUCCAUUAGGAGCUCCUCCGAUCUGGAUGCUAACCGUCUGCAGAGUAUCCUGGAUAUCUGGUAUUCGGAGCUGCGACAGGCUCUUCUGGCGGAGAACUCUGCAAAUCGGGAGCGCGUAAUAUUAGAAUUCAAUAACUCGAUGAACGAGCUGAUGAAGAGUCAACAGCAAGAUGUCGAUCGUUUACACAACGAUAUCGAUUCCCUGCAUCGAUUAUGCCGCUCCUACAGCAAAGGUAUUCACCAGCGCGAUAAAACUAUCGCUAAUCUGGCCGACGCACUGGCCAGCCAAAAGGAGCAGGUCGUUCUGGCCCGUUCCUUCACCGCCUGGAGGAAUGAAAGAGAAGAAAAUCGACGCGAACAAUCCCUUAAAGUGAUAGCCAGUCGACAUUAUCGACAAAGAAUUGUGCAGAGAGCGUGGAGUGCUUGGCGUGGUUUGGUUCAGGAACGCUGGCGACAGCGUAUUGAGAAAGCUUGCCAGAAACGGGCGGAAGAAGUGUGUGAGCAGCUGGCAGACCGCUACGAUUCAAGAAUCGCAGAGUUGGAGGCGCUUGUGAAACAGCUGCGAGAGGAAAACAAAACGUACCGGCAUGAAUUGAGCAUAGUUAACGCCAAAGCCCGUAAUGCUUUGCUCCAUGGUGUUACCGUUCUGAAAACUGAUCUUGCGACAUUUCCUAACAAGCCGGAAGGGGAUUCCGAACCUUCGUCCGGAAAAGUAAACAGCGAUCCAAAUAGCCCAUCUAACGGAAUGGGGAUGCAGCAACCAGAAAUCACUCCAAACGGGGAAAAUAUCUCGACCAAGAAGCGAUUGAAGUCCUUUAAUUCUGGUCCGAUUCCGUACGCGGUCGAAAAGCAUAACGCCACGAGGAAGAGCUCUGGUGCCAGUUCCUCUUCCAGUGGGAAAUCGAAUCGCAGCGUGAUCUCAGACGGUUCUCGUACUAAAGAUGGUUGAUUUUAUGCCAUUGUGAUAAUGCAUUCUUUGCCGUGUAUCUUUCUUUCAUGAUCUUUCAGCCUGGUUUGAUUAGAUCACCGUCCUUUCGAGGGUUUUUAUGUGUACAGCGACUGUACUCGUCUUUGUUGCACCUCGUUAAUUUACUUUCUUUGGCAGUGUGGUCUGGUCUUAAUUUUUAGAUUUGUAACUUUUACUGCGUGUUUAAGUAGCCAUUGGGUUGAAUUAAGAGAGUAACAAAUUAGCAAUCACAGUUGUAUAAUAAAAAAUCGUUCUGGAUUUGUUUUUGGCACGGCAUUUUGCGCAUUGCUAG